ACUUUACAAUGAUGAAAAAAAUUAUCAAUAUUAAAACAGUUAUCCCUGUCUUAAAUAUAAUGUCGAGAAUUCUAAUCUGAAACAU
rfam:Pichia kudriavzevii strain SD108 scaffold00279, whole genome shotgun sequence.